rfam:Felis catus isolate Cinnamon breed Abyssinian chromosome F1, whole genome shotgun sequence.
GCCUGGGUGGCUCAGUAGGUUAAGCAUCCGACUUCGGCUCGGGUCAUGAUCUCACGGUCCGUGAGUUUGAGCCCCACGUCAGGCU